CGGCUGAAGCAGGACUCUCCUUCGAUACCAACACCCUGAGCACCGAAUACCAGAGGUGAAGAUAAUAAUACUCAUCCCCUGUGGUGUCUGGUAGGGUUCCGGUUGGUGCAAAGGUGUCCAAGGUCGAUAUGCAAGAAGAAGAUUCUGCCACAAACUCAUGUUCAACGUCAGUCAAAGGUUUCACUUUUUUUGACAAUUCUGGCUUGCUUGCAAUUCAUCCAUGAAGACAGCACGAGAGUGAGGGCUGCCAAGAUAAGUGAACUUAUCACUGCUGACAGAUUCUGAUCCUGGACUGAAAUCAUGAGCUUGAGGAAAGGCUCUCCAGUAAGAGUGGUGUGUUACUCAGUCUUCUUCACGCUGAUCAUAAAGCAAAACUUGUCAAAUGCUAUGGAGAACAAGUUCAUGCUACGAAGAAUGACAAGUUCUGAACUGACAGUCCUUGUCUUGUCACUGGCAAGCAGCAAACUGUAUUAGAUCAAUAAAUAUGAUGUAGAGUUUCAUUCUUAGGAUGAUUUAAUUUACUAUGGUUGUAAAUAAAAACUGUGAGAAAGUCAGAAUAAGAAGGCACAAAAUUAGAAUUAGAUUUGAUCUACUGAUGGUGAUGCCAGAAAAUGAAAGGGUUCAUACAAAGAGUUGUGGAAAUCUGGAAACCUCCUUCAUGAAAAACAAACUGUUAAGACAAGGUCAAUUGAAAAUUUCAAAACAGACAUUGCUAAAUAUAAUUGUAUAAUGUAUGAAGCGUUACAACUCCAUCCACCUGUUUUGGUUUAAAGUUGUCAAUCAACCCUAAUCUGAAUGAUAAAAUAGACUUGAAGCUGAAGUAUCUUUUCUUGUUCCCAAAAUAGGAAUUUAGCAGAGUGGGUCACAAAGGUAACUAGAUUGACAUGAAUUGUUGGAGGAACUGUAACAAGUUGGAAAGAAAAGUUCAAUUUUGAGCAUAAUUGGAAAGCAUUUUCUCAUGAAGCUUAGCUUUUCAGCACAGAUGUUAUUUUUCUGAAGUGAAUAGAGUUGAAAGGU